GAAUAUUGGACAAUGGGGGCAACCCUGAUCCAGCCAUGCCGCGUGUGUGAAGAAGGCCUUUUGGUUGUAAAGCACUUUAAGCAGUGAAGAAGACUCCAUGGUUAAUACCCAUGGACGAUCACCUUAGCUGCAGAAUCAGCACCGGCUAACUCCUUCCCAGCAGCCGCCGUAAUACAGAGAGGGAAGGCGUGAAUCGGAAUUACGGGGCGUAAAGCGAGCGUAGGUGGCUGGGUAAGUCAGAGGUGGAGGCCCCGGGCUUAACCUGGGAACGGCAUCUGAUACUGUUAGGCUAGAGUAGGUGAGAGGAAGGUAUAAUUGCAGGUGUAGCGGUGAAAGGCGUAGAGAUCUGGAGGAAUACCGAUGGCGAAGGCAGCCUUCUGGCAUCAUACUGACACUGGGGUUCGAAAGCGUGGGUAGCAAACAGG
rnacentral:rRNA from 1 species